rnacentral:rRNA from 1 species
GGGGAAUAUUGCACAAUGGGCGCAAGCCUGAUGCAGCCAUGCCGCGUGUAUGAAGAAGGCCUUCGGGUUGUAAAGUACUUUCAGCGAGGAGGAAGGUGUUGUGGUUAAUAAACUUAGCGAUUGACGUUACUCGCAGAAGAAGCACCGGCUAACUCCGUGCCAGCAGCCGCGGUAAUACGGAGGGUGCAAGCGUUAAUCGGAAUUACUGGGCGUAAAGCGCACGCAGGCGGUCUGUCAAGUCGGAUGUGAAAUCCCCGGGCUCAACCUGGGAACUGCAUUCGAAACUGGCAGGCUAGAGUCUUGUAGAGGGGGGUAGAAUUCCAGGUGUAGCGGUGAAAUGCGUAGAGAUCUGGAGGAAUACCGGUGGCGAAGGCGGCCCCCUGGACAAAGACUGACGCUCAGGUGCGAAAGCGUGGGGAGCAAAC